GAUGAACGCUGGCGGCGUGCCUAAUACAUGCAAGUCGAGCGAAUGGAUUAAGAGCUUGCUCUUAUGAAGUUAGCGGCGGACGGGUGAGUAACACGUGGGUAACCUGCCCAUAAGACUGGGAUAACUCCGGGAAACCGGGGCUAAUACCGGAUAACAUUUUGAACCGCAUGGUUCGAAAUUGAAAGGCGGCUUCGGCUGUCACUUAUGGAUGGACCCGCGUCGCAUUAGCUAGUUGGUGAGGUAACGGCUCACCAAGGCAACGAUGCGUAGCCGCCCUGAGGGGGUGAUCGGCCACACUGGGACUGAGACACGGCCCAGACUCCUACGGGAGGCAGCAGUAGGGAAUCUUCCGCAAUGGACGAAGGUCUGACGGAGCAACGCCGCGUGAGUGAUGAAGGCUUUCGGGUCGUAAAACUCUGUUGUUAGGGAAGAACAAGUGCUAGUUGAAUAAGCUGGCACCUUGACGGUACCUAACCAGAAAGCCACGGCUAACUACGUGCCAGCCGCCGCAGUAA
rnacentral:rRNA from 1 species